AAAUUCUGUUGCAGCAGAUAGC
rnacentral:miRNA from 1 species